GAUGAACGCUGGCGGCGUGCCUAAUACAUGCAAGUCGAGCGAACAGAUAAGAGCUUUGUUCCUUUGACGUUUUCCGCACACGGGUGAGUAACACGUGGGUCACCUCCCUAUAAGACUGGUAUCACUCCGAGAAACUGGCUCAUACCCCGUAUAAGUAGUUGAACCAUAUGGUUCUACAGAGAGAUGCGAUUUUGCUAUCACCAAUUGGAGGUCCGCGGUCGUAUUAGCUUGUUGGUGGGGUAACGGCCCACCAAGGCAACGCUCAGUAGCCGACCUGAGAGGGUGAUCGGCCACACGGGAACUGGAACACGGUCCAGCCUCCUAGGGGAGGCAGCAGAAGGGAAUCUUCCGCAAUGGGCGAAAGCCUGACGGAGCAACGCCGCGGGAGGGAUGAAGGUCUUCGGAUCGAAAGACUCUGUUAUUAGGGAAGAACAAAUGCGUAAGGAACUGUGCGCGUCUUGACGGUACCUAAUCAGAAAGCCACGGCUAACUACGUG
rnacentral:rRNA from 1 species